UAAGUGAUGUUUAAAAGUGUUAUGGGGUAAUAUAAUCUUUCCUCUUGAAAAAUAAGUUUGUGAUCGAUAUGAAAAUGUAAGGAAGUUUUCUAUCACAUGUACGCACUUGCAGAUUGUAAUGCACGCGUUUAAAUAUGUAUUUCAAAAUUGUAAUUUCAUUUCUGUUUAUUGUAUUUCAGUUUUACAAAUAAGAAAAAGGAUCACAGAAGUAAACAUUCUGGAAAGGAUAAACUGCUUCAUGUGUGUUUGUUUGUUAGCUAGCUGUCUAGUUUCUUUAAAGUGAAGCAGUUGCAAGGACAGAAUAGUAAAAAGGCAGCAACGCAUCGGGAAAGAUUAAAAAGAGGUUUAUUUAACAUCGUAUGCUGCACAAUUCUGAGAUUAAAAAGUGAAAGAAAGCACUUUGCAUGAAAGCAAGAUGGAUCCAGAUAAGGAUGCUAAAAAAGGCCCAGCAAGCUUCUGAGAGGCGAUCUCAAGUUUCUGGCUCCAGAUACACUGAAAAAAGUGCACAACGCAUGUCAUUACUCUAAAGAAGUUUUUAUAUUUGAUCUAACUCAAAAAAAUUAAUUUUCUGUCCAGCCAUCAGUUUAAUGUAAAAAAUGUGUUUGAUUUAAAUUAAAAGUAAGUCUUAUUGGUGUAAAGUAAAUACAUUUCUGUAAAUUAAAUUAAAAAUAUUAGUUUCCAUUGUCACGUGACUUCUAAUGUCAUCCAUGGGCAUGCGUAAGGACGUUCAGCUCAGGUUGAGCUUUCCGCCAUCUUGUUAUACACUACAUCGAUGGAUGAUCUCCGCGUGGUACAACGGGAUUCAAGAAAAUUGGCCAAUCAUAUCCCAUCCCUGGAGAGACAUCAGCAAACAUUAUGACAAAGACGUUUGCCUUACGCAGACAAGGGCUUGUGGAAAACCAACCUACUGUUCAAGAACUGCUAGAAAUAUUGCCAGCUCUGUUUCUACAAGAGGAGAUUAAUGCCGAAUUGCGCAUCACAAUCUUAACUUGAAAAUCAAGAUUUAUGGCCUCUUUGGACAGACAGAGCUCUCAUGUUAUUAGGAGCAAAGGUGGAGUCCUCCAUGAAAAACUAAGGACACUAUUAAAGUUAUGGAUCAGAGUCUGGACAUAGACAUCAGAAGAGAAAGCCUGCUGAAGUGCCUGAUUCAUGUACUUUGGUGAAGAUGCAAGCUGUAUGAUCAAAGAAUACCAGGCUGACCAGAGGGAAGAAGCGGAGAGAGAAUUCAAAAAGACCAACAUGGAAUUUUUUUGUGAUCCGUGAAAGUGAUGCUCUUAAUCAUGCACUGGACAUUUCCAUUUUCAUUGACGGUGUGGAGUAAUAAAUGAGUUGCCCUCUGUUGCAUGUGCAUGUUUUGACUCAUUUGAACUGAACUUAAAAUAUCCUGAUGGACUCAAAUAUACCUUUUUAAGGCCUUUCAAAAAAAUGUUCAUGGACAUAGACAGUAAGCAGAUGAGCCGAAGGGUGCAGAACCCCUCUUCAAAACUGCAGGAGUACAUUUUUUUCCUUUGACCCAGCUACUGAAGGUACAUUUUUUGAGCCUUUUAUACAACAUUAACUGUAAUACUGUUUACUAAACCUGAUUUGUUUUAUCUUGGUUAAGUUCUAUGGUUUAUCUAUCAACCAUAACUGAUUCUUAUGAUGAAUUUACAUUGUAUCCAGUGUGUCUACAAAUACUAAAAACUGUUAUACAGUAUGUGUUUUUAUAACAAUACUAUACACAUUGUUGAAAUGUUUUAUGACAAAUUGUCAAGAUUAUAAUGUGUUUACAUUGUUAGACAGUGUGUAUUUGUACAAAAAUGUGUAUUAUGACAAAAUAAAUUGUCAAAUGUUUGAUGCUUGAAGUCAUUCAUCUUAGACAGAUGGUAAAAUUACACAUUCUG